rnacentral:ncRNA from 1 species
AUAAAAGCAAAGAUGGGGAAAUGGCAUGUAUAAUACUCAACAGGGAGAAAGGGCCAAGAUUGAGAGCUCUUUUGGAUAAGUAUAUGUCUACCAAUAUAACACCCCGGAGCUUAAAUCUCGAAUAUAAGUAGGGAUUUACGUUUUAUGCGUUAAAAUUUUAAGUGGGAUUUUCCAAACAGGGUGGCACCGCGGGAAGACUCUCGUCCCUGAU